CAGGUGCAACAUAAGAGAUUUAGGAAAAGAACUUGGAUUGGAGGCACCUGGUUGGGGAGACAGCAUCACCUCUCUCAGCUAUUGCUGAAAUAGAGUACAUCAGCUUCAGUUUGGACCCAGCCUCUUAAGAAGACCUCAGAUGACUAAAACUUUUGAAGAGACGGCGCCAACUCCUGCGAGGACUUCAGAAGAUGCAACAUCUGGAUCAACAAGCACAUUCGCAAAUUUCUAUAUAUCCUAAUUAUUGUUAAUAUGUAAUUCAUUUUUCCAGGAGCUCUUUGCUUCUACCUUCAAUUAAAUUGCUAACAGUGAUUGUAUAUUAAUUGCCUAAAUUAUUACAUUAUUAGCUAACUGCAUUCUCCAAAUUGUAAUGUUGACAUGCAUUCUCUGUAAAGCUGCUUUGAAACGAUAUGUAUUGUGAAAAGCGCUAUACAAAUAAAUGUGAAUUGAACUUUUA